rnacentral:lncRNA from 1 species
ACAGAUCCUCUUCAGCACCUGAGGCACUAGAUUUAGUUUCAAAAAUUCGGUCUGUCUGGGCAAACGAAACAGUUUCUGAUUCUAACAGAUUCUACUACUUUUUCACCUUGGCCUUCUUCCUCAACCGUUUUGCAGUCUUCUAUCAAUGUCGAAAAGAAGAGUUGGCUUAGAAAACCUGCUCAUAAACAAUAAAAAAAAAUAAAAAAAAUCAAUAGAAAAAAGAAAAACAAUUAACACCGUUCCCCGGCAACGGCGCCAAUUUGGUGAUCGUCGUCUACCACCAAAUAAUUCCUGCAAUCUUACCAUGAAUUAAAUUAGUAAAGCACUAAGCAGGGUCAAACCACAGAGAACGAGUAAUUGCACUCAAUUUCCUAAAGAUCAAGUUUGGUGUAGCCACCACGCCAUAAAUGGGAGAGAUUGAUUAUAA